AAGAGCCCACCAAGGCGACGAUCGGUAGCUGGUCUGAGAGGAUGAUCAGCCACACUGGAACUGAGACACGGUCCAGACUCCUACGGGAGGCAGCAGUGGGGAAUAUUGGACAAUGGGCGCAAGCCUGAUCCAGCCAUACCGCGUGGGUGAAGAAGCCCUUCCGGUUAGUAAUGCCCUAUUGUUGGGGAAGAUAAGCCAAUCGGUCUAUCCCCGGUUGUUCUGACGGUACCCCAAACCAUAAGCGCCGGCUCACCUCGUGCCAGCAGCCGGCGGUAAUACGAAAGGGUGCAAGCGUUACUCGGAAUUACUGGUCGUAAAGCGUGCGUAGGUGGUUGUUUUAAGUCUGGUCGUGAAAGCCCUGGGCUCAACCUGGAAAUUGCGAUGGAAAUCUGGGCGACUAGAGUGUGGCAGAGGGUAGUCGACUUCCUGGUGUAGCAGUGGAAAUGCGUAGAGAUCAGGAGGAACAUCCGUGGCGAAGGCGACUGCCUGGUCCCAUCACUGACACUGAGGCACGAAAGCGUGGGGAGCAAACAGGAUUAGAUACCCCUGGGUAGUCCACGCCCUAAACGAUGCGAACUGGAUGUUGGGUGCAAUUUGGCCACGCAGUAUCGAAGCUAACGCCGUUAAGUUCGCCCGCCUGGGGGAGUACGGUCGGCAAGACUGAAACCUCAAAGGAAUUGACGGGGGCCCGCACAAGCGGUGGAGUAUGUGGUUUAAUUCGACGCAACGCGAAGAACCUUACCUGGCCUCGACAUGUCGCGAACUUUCCAGAGAUGGAUUGGUGCCUUCGGGAACGCGAACACAGGUGCUGCAUGCCUGUCGUCAGCUCGUGUCGUGAGAUGUUGGGUUAAGUCCCGCUA
rnacentral:rRNA from 1 species